AGCAGCCGCGGUAAUUCCAGCUCCAAUAGCGUAUAUUAAAGUUGUUGCAGUUAAAAGCUCGUAGUUGAAUUUCGGGAUUCGUCCAUUGGUCAGGCUUAACUGUCUGUACUGGUGUGUCGGAUUUCUACCUUCUGAAGAACCUUCAUGCCAUUAAUUUGGUGUGUUGGGGAAUCAGGACUGUUACUUUGAAAAAUUAGAGUGUUUAAAGCAGGCUAACGUCUGAAUACAUUAGCAUGGAAUAAUGAAAUAGGACGGUACGGUUCUAUUUUGUUGGUUUCUAGGAUCGCCGUAAUGAUUAAUAGGGAUAGUUGGGGGCAUUAGUAUUCAAUUGUCAGAGGUGAAAUUCUUGGAUUUAUUGAAGACUAACUACUGCGAAAGCAUUUGCCAAGGAUGUUUUCAUUAAUCAAGACGAAAGUUAGGGGAUCGAAGACGAUCAGAUACCGUCGUAGUCUUAACCAUAAACCUAUGCCGACUAGGGAUUGGACGAUGUUAAUUUUUAAUGUACUCG
rnacentral:rRNA from 1 species